rnacentral:lncRNA from 1 species
GGCCCCUGAACUACACUUCUUCCAAGCCUGAACCAAGCACAAAAAAGUAGAAUGUGCCCUCUCAUCAGCUUCUCCUGGGAAUCACCCAACCACACAUCUCUCUUGCCUUCUCUCAUGUUUGCUCUCAUGCCAGCUGCUUGUCAUGAGAUAUUUUAUGAAGAGGCCCACAUGGCAUAGAAGUGAGGAAGGAUUCCAGCCAACACCUUAUGAGGAGCUGAAACCUUAGUCCAACAGCCACGAGCAACUAAAUCUUGCCAACAACCAUCUGAGUGAGCUAGAAAGCAAAUCUUUUUCAGCUGAGCUUCAAGAGGAGUACAGCCUUGUAAGCCUAAGCUGUUGCCCAAAUUCUUGACCCACAGAGACUG